UACAGAGGUCCCAAGCGUUGUUCGGAUUCAUUGGGCGUAAAGGGUGCGUAGGCGGCGCGGUAAGUCGGGUGUGAAAUCUCGGAGCUUAACUCCGAAACUGCAUUCGAUACUGCCGUGCUUGAGGACUGGAGAGGAGACUGGAAUUUACGGUGUAGCGGUGAAAUGCGUAGAUAUCGUAAGGAAGACCAGUGGCGAAGGCGGGUCUCUGGACAGUCCUGACGCUGAGGCACGAAGGCUAGGGGAGCAAACGGG
rnacentral:rRNA from 1 species